UCUCUGGUGGCUCAGAUGGUAAAGAAUUUGCUUGCAAUGCAGGAGACUCAGGUUCAGUCCCUGGCUUGGGAA
rnacentral:tRNA from 1 species